rnacentral:lncRNA from 1 species
ACCCAUGGAGCGCUAGCCUAUUUAUAAUAGGCGUGGGGAUGCAUCUCCAAGGGAUGCAUCCCAUCCACACAUCCUUUCAUGAAGGGCCAUCAUCUAAAAGACCAUAUCAAAUAAGAGGAGGCGCAGAUCAAGUGAGGAGGUGUAUCAAAUGAUAUGUCCUUUCAUGUGGUGCCAUAUUUUGACCAAGUCAACAUCACAUGCCAAUCACAUG